AGACAGCUGCGAGGGGGCAGUGCUCCAGCGGUGCUCAGGAUGGAGCAGUGGCCCCAUGGGACUCCUCCUUCCAACAUCUCCCUAAAAUAAACCAACUUCCCAAUUGAUGUGACACUGGUUUUCAACAUCGACAUGACCAAGAUGCAUCAACAACUCCGGGAUGACUCAAUAACUCAGCCACUUGCAUCAGAUGCCACCCUCCCACCCCAAUCCCCCUGAGAGUCUGGAUCCAACACAUCACACAUAUUCUCACUUGGGUCGAAGUGAACAAUGAAGGAUAAGAAACCAACAGAGAGAAUGCAAUGCACUGGGCAGGACAAAGAGUGUUGGGGGUAAAAGGUGAACCUCAGGACUGACUAAAGAAUCUGAUAUAAGGAAACAGGAAAAGAAGCUGUGGAUUUUCCCUUUGUAUUUUCUUACUCAUCCUUGAAGACAGGAGUCAUACUUUGUAACUUCCACUGUCUUGACUCCAACCAUGGAAGAAACUAAUAAAUAACAGUAAUUGAU
rnacentral:lncRNA from 1 species